UACGAGAGGCCCAACCGUUAUUCGGAAUUACUGGGCUUAAAGAGUUCGUAGGCGGCAUUACAAGUAGGGUGUGAAAGCCCUCGGCUCAACCGAGGAAUUGCGCUCUAAACUGUCGUGCUAGAGGAACCUAGAGGUGAGCAGAACAGAUGGUGGAGCGGUGAAAUGCGUUGAUAUCAUCUGGAAUACCGGAGGCGAAGGCGGCUCACUGGGGGUUUUCUGACGCUGAGGAACGAAAGCCAGGGUAGCGAACGGG
rnacentral:rRNA from 1 species